rnacentral:lncRNA from 1 species
CAAAGAACUUGUCGCGAACGCCACUGUCUGAAACAGAGAACCAGACCAUGGCGACCAAAUGCAAACAACCUCGCGAAGCCCCACCGCGAGCAGCUCACCUCCUUGCCACCAAACAUUGCGCCACCGCAAGUUGAAGAUGAAGAAAGAAAAGAGAAGCAGCGAACCAGAAGAAAGAAGCCAUGGAUGGAGCGGAAAACGCGAGAAAAAAACGCACAGCACCAGAGAACGAAAAAGGCAAACCAGAAAAGGAAUCUCUCCUUAGGGUUUCAAAUUUGGGAAUUUUCCCAAAUUAGGGUUACAGAGUCAUUCAAAUUGGAAAUUCUGGAUGUUAAUUUCCCUUUUCAAACCGUAGAAUUAAUGCACAAAAUUGAUUAUAGAUUUAUA